rnacentral:rRNA from 1 species
ACUCAAAGGAAUUGACGGGGGCCCGCACAAGCAGCGGAGCGUGUGGUUUAAUUCGACGCAACGCGAAGAACCUUACCAGGUCUUGACGUGCUAGUGGUAGGAAGCCGAAAGGUAGACGACCCGCAAGGGAGCUAGUGCAGGUGCUGCAUGGCUGUCGUCAGCUCGUGCCGUGAGGUGUUGGGUUAAGUCCCGCAACGAGCGCAACCCUCGUUGCCAGUUAAGAAUCUGGCGAGACUGCCGAGACAAACUCGGAGGAAGGUGGGGAUGACGUCAAGUCAGCACGGCCCUUACGACCUGGGCUACACACACGCUACAAUGGGUGGUACAGAGGGCAGCGACAGGGCGACCUAGAGCGAAUCCCAGAAAGCCAUCCUCAGUUCAGAUUGCAGGCUGCAACUCGCCUGCAUGAAGAUGGAGUUGCUAGUAACCGCAGGUCAGCACACUGCGGUGAAUACGUUCCCGGGCCUUGUACACACCGCCCGU